AUUGAACGCUGGCGGCAGGCCUAACACAUGCAAGUCGAACGGUAACAGGAAGCAGCUUGCUGCUUCGCUGACGAGUGGCAGACGGGUGAGUAAUGUCUGGGAAGCUGCCUGAUGGAGGGGGAUAACUACUGGAAACGGUAGCUAAUACCGCAUAAUGUCGCAAGACCAAAGAGGGGGACCUUCGGGCCUCUUGCCAUCGGAUGUGCCCAGAUGGGAUUAGCUUGUUGGUGGGGUAACGGCUCACCAAGGCGACGAUCCCUAGCUGGUCUGAGAGGAUGACCAGCCACACUGGAACUGAGACACGGUCCAGACUCCUACGGGAGGCAGCAGUGGGGAAUAUUGCACAAUGGGCGCAAGCCUGAUGCAGCCAUGCCGCGUGUAUGAAGAAGGCCUUCGGGUUGUAAAGUACUUUCAGCGGGGAGGAAGGGAGUAAAGUUAAUACCUUUGCUCAUUGACGUUACCCGCAGAAGAAGCACCGGCUAACUCCGUG
rnacentral:rRNA from 1 species